rnacentral:SRP_RNA from 1 species
UGCCGUCACGAUAGAUAACUAUGAAUCAGGUCAGGACAGGAAUGUAGCAGCCUUAAGUAACUUGUUUAUGUGUGACGGU